AUGGCAUAUUAUUCAGAUUGUCUCAGAGAUGCGAGGAACACUACAAACAUCACGGAAACUAUUCAAGAACUGAUAAGUAAGAUUUCCCAUCGAUUAGAUGAUUUAGCUCAACAGCGAGAAGUAGUUUUUGAGGAUAGGCCUAGCUCUUAUGAUCCUUAUUCUAGAGGUCAUCCUUAUGUUGCUCCUACAUGCCAUAUUUGUGGAUUUCAGGGCCAUUCACCCGCUGAAUGUCAGCGUGGUUACUCUCACUCUCCCGAUUUUUAUGGCAUGAGCUUCGCCCCACAGCCUAGCUCAUACCAAAACAAUUACUCAUAUGGGUGGCCUGAGAACCAGAAUAUGUCAUAUAGGAGCAACAACCCCGAGAUCUCACCGUUUGCUUCUAGUAAUCAUAUGCAGGGAUUUAGGUACAAUGAGGAGAGCCACAACUAUGCUCCACAAUAG
rnacentral:rRNA from 1 species